rnacentral:rRNA from 1 species
AUUGAACGCUGGCGGCAGGCUUAACACAUGCAAGUCGAGCGGAGCGAGGGUGCUUGCACCUUAGCUUAGCGGCGGACGGGUGAGUAAUGCUUAGGAAUCUGCCUAUUAGUGGGGGACAACAUUCCGAAAGGAAUGCUAAUACCACAUACGCCCUACGGGGGAAAGCAGGGGAGCUUCGGACCUUGCGCUAAUAGAUGAGCCUAAGUCGGAUUAGCUAGUUGGUGGGGUAAAGGCCUACCAAGGCGACGAUCUGUAGCGGGUCUGAGAGGAUGAUCCGCCACACUGGGACUGAGACACGGCCCAGACUCCUACGGGAGGCAGCAGUGGGGAAUAUUGGACAAUGGGCGGAAGCCUGAUCCAGCCAUGCCGCGUGUGUGAAGAAGGCCUUUUGGUUGUAAAGCACUUUAAGCGAGGAGGAGGCUACUUAGAUUAAUACUCUGGGAUAGUGGACGUUGCUCGCAGAAUAAGCACCGGCUAACUCUGUGCCAGCCGCCGCGGUAA